rnacentral:rRNA from 1 species
AUGAAGGAUAAACAAUCUGAUAUUGAUGCCAAUGAUCUGUUUGUUGAGUUGAAGUUCCUUCAAAAUUUCAUGCCAAAGGAAAAUAUGGGACCUGUUGAAAUUCUGAAUUUUUUGAAGCGGCAUGACUGUUUUCCCAAUGCAAGUAUUGCAUAUAGAGUUCUGUUCACCAUUCCUGUGACAGUUGCAUCGGCAGAAAGAAGUUUUUCUAAGUUGAAGCUAUUGAAGUCCUAUAUGCGUACUACUAUGACACAACAAAGACUCAAUGAUUUGGCCACAAUAGCACUUGAGAGUGAAGUGUUGGAGAAGAUUGAUUACGAGGAUAUCAUUGAAGAUUUCAUAUCAAAGAAUACUAAAAGAAUGAAGUUUUUCAAAUAA